AUGGAUGAUAUGUGGGAAGAGAAGGACAGGAGUGGAUGGAUUAAACUCUUGGCUCCAUUGAAAAGUAAUAAAGUAAAAGGUUGCAUGGUACUAGCAACAACCAGAACAAAAUCAGUGGCAAAAAUGAUAGGAACUAUGGAUGAAAUCACAUUGAGUGGUCUGGAUGAGAAGGAGUUUUGGCUGUUUUUCAAGGCAUGUGCAUUUCGCAAUGACAACCGCGAGCACCAUCCUGGUUUGCAAUCUAUUGGGAAACAAAUUGCUAAAGCACUAAAAGGCUUCCCACUAGCUGCACAAAGUGUUGGUGCACUUCUGAGCACAGAUGUUAGCUAUGAGCAUUGGACGACAGUUCGGGACAAAUGGAAAUCUCUUCAAGGAUAUGAUGAUGAUAUUUUACCCAUCUUGAAGCUCAGUUAUGAUUAUCUACCAGUCUACCUUCAGCGGUGUUUCUCAUACUGCUCUUUGUAUCCAGAGGACUACGGAUUUGAUGGGAAAGAAUUGGUCCAUGCCUGGAUAUCACAGAAUUUUGUGCAGUGCAAAGAUCCUACCAUAAGAUUGGAGGAAACAGGGCAUGAAUAUUUGGAAAAAUUAGUGGAUUUGGGCUUCUUCCAAAAGGAUGGCUCACACUAUGUUAUGCAUGACCUAAUGCAUGUAUUGGCAGGGAUGGUUUCGUCAAAUGAGUGUGCUACUAUAGAUGGAUUGAAAUCCGGGGCAAUUCGAGCAAGUGUUCGGCAUUUGUCGAUCAUAAUUACUGAUUAUGAUAAAGAUGAACAUGUCAGCAAUUCUAGUGAGAAGUUUGACAAAAUACUUCAGAAGGUGUCUUGGCACAAAUUGAGGACAUUGAUGGUGUUUGGGCGAAGGACCAUACAUUUAUUAGGUUCAUUACAUACUUUAUGCAAGGAGGCAAAAUGUUUACGGUUACUAAGAAUUCAUGUGCCAGGUGGCGACAUCAGUUAUAUAAACAGUUUAUUGAAUCCAUGCCAUCUUCGCUAUAUAAUGGCAUAUGGAGUCUACCAAAAACCUGCGUUUUGUCAAGUUCUGACAAGGUGCUAUCACCUUCAAGUAUUGAAUGUGGGCAUUUUUACAGGCGAUCGUGAUGUACCUACUGAUAUGAAUAAUCUUGUUAAUCUGCGCCAUCUUAUUGCUCAUGAUAAAGUGCACCAUGUGAUAUAUUGCGUCGGCAAAAUGACCUCUCUUCAGGAACUAAAAUUCAAGGUUCAAAAUGUUGGCAGUUUUGAGAUAGGACAACUUCAGUCCAUGAAUGAGCUUGUAUCACUUGGAGCUUCUCAACUUGAAAAUGUGAAGACUAAAGAAGAGGCGAGGGUGGCCAUGCUGACACACAAAGAGUAUCUAGAAACAUUGUCCUUGUCAUGGGAGAAUAGUAGCAUGAGCCUUCAACCUGAGGCUGCAAAGGAUGUGCUUGAUGGUCUUCAACCACAUCAGAACCUCAAAACUCUAGAAAUAACUGGAUAUGGUGGUGCUACCUCCCCAACCUGGCUUUCUAGUGCGUUUUCAGUUACCUCACUGCAGAUACUACAUCUAGAGGAGUGCAAGGAAUGGCAAAUUCUACCAACUCAUGGAAUGCGUUCCCUUAGGAAGCUGACAUUGAUCAGGAUGUUGAAUUUAAUGGAACUCUCAGUUCCUUCCUUGGUAGAGUUGAUCUUGAUUGGCAUGCCAAAAUUAGAAAAAUGUACCGGUUCUUAUGGAAUGGAAUUGACUUCCCAUUUAAGGGUUUUGACGAUCAAGAACUGCCCUCAACUGAAUGAGCUCACUCUUUUCCAGAGUUACUCUUCUUUCGACGCUGAGCAGAAAUCAUGGUUUCCGUCUCUCAGCAAACUCUCCAUCGGGCAGUGUCCUCGUAUAUUGAACAACUGGCAAAUCCUCCCACUAAGUGAAAUGAGGGCGCUCAGUGAGUUGGAGCUGAUGGACCUGCAUGUUGGCAGAGUUUCAGUUCCUUCUCUGGAGAAGUUGGUGUUGACUAAAAUGCCAAACCUGGAAUUUUGCAGCAGUCUAACGACCCAAGGAGAUCAAAUGGGAUGGCCAUCUAGUCUGCGUAGAAUUACCAUCCAUGAUUGCCCUUGUUUGAUAGUGCCACACCCUCUUCCGCCUUCUGCUUUGAUUUCCGAGAUGUCCAUCAGGGGAGUUCCGGGACUUGCACAAAUGAGUAUAAACCAUAGAUGGUUCACUAUUGAAUCUAAUGAGUUGAGUGUGCUAGAUGACAGUAUCCUGGCAUUCAGUAACCUUGGGGGCAUAAGAUUGUUUCAAAUAAGAAGGUGUCCAAAUCUGAUCUCUCUUUCAAGUGAAUCUUUCAGCCAGCUCAUCGCUUUAGAGACUUUAUGUAUACACGACUGCCCUAAUCUGACUAUGUCAAACAUUAUGCCAGAGAUUGUCCAGGAAAACAGCACGUCUGCAAGCAGCCUUGUCCUCCCGUCUCUCAAAUCUGUCAACAUUAGCAGAUGUGGCGUAACUGGGAGGUGGCUAUCUCAACUGCUUUCACAUUCACAGUCCCUUGAGAAGUUGCUAUUAGGGGGGUGUCCUCAGAUAAAGUUUUUAUCAAUCAGUCAACCUACAGAAACGGAAGGAACCAGCAGUUUGGCUUCUGCAGUGAUGACCUCAGCCCAAGAUCAGGAUGAACAUGAAUUGAAACUGCCAUAUAAUCUCCUAUGUUCUCUCAAGGUGCUAUGGAUUCAGCAAAGCCUGGAUCUGAAGUUCUUUGGGGGUAAUAGACACUCUACAAGAUUCACCUCUCUUACAGAGCUUUUCCUUUAUGGUUGCCCCAAGCUUGUCUCAUCGUUGGUGGGUGAAACGAAAGAUGACGGUACCAUUGAUGUUGAAUUACUCCCACCAUCACUUGAAAACCUUUUUAUCAGUUCUUUCCCAGAAAACCUGCAGUCCUUCGCUCCUCAAGGCCUUCUCUACCUAAAAAAGUUAAGUCUAUUUGGUGGCCCGUGUUUGAAGUCUGUACAACUGCAUUCCUGUACGGCUUUACAGGAGCUGCGAAUCGGGGGGUGUGUCCAGCUGGCUGUACUGGAGGGCUUGCAGUUCCUCACCUCCCUCCGAAGCUUGGAUAUUGAGAUGAGCCCGGAGCUGUCUUCUGCAUGGGAUCUCAAACUGCAGGAGCAAGAACAGGGUGGGAAUCAAAUUCAGCUAUUUCCUCUGUCACUUGAUAAACUUGAGAUCACAGCUGUCACGGACAGGGUCCAAUCCCGUCUUCUGUCCUGCCUUCCCGCCAUGACCAAAUUAGCAGUACAGAGAAGUCCAGAACUGACGUCUCUACAGUUGGCAUGCUGCACGGCAGUGAAAGAGUUGGAAAUUGGAGACUGCGACUUGCUUGCGUCGAUCGAGGGCCUCCAGUUCUGUAGAAACCUGACAUCCUUGAAAGUAUUUAACUCCCCCGGCCUACCUUCCUGUUUUCAACUUUUGUCCGACCAGCAAGGUGUCUGUGAAGUAUGGUCUGGAUUGAAAACUCUUGUGGCUAGUGACGCAUCUAUCCUGUCCAGGCCGUUCUGCAAACAGCUGACUUCCCUAAGACGUCUACAGUUUGGCUCUGCGUAUAGUGCAAGCUUGGUGAACCUAACAGACGAACAAGAGAGAGCUUUACAGCUUCUAACCUCACUCCAAGAACUUCAAUUCCUGAGAUGCCCGAAUCUCUUAUCACUUCCUGCAAGCCUAUAUAGCCUGACCUCCCUCAGAACAUUAUCUAUCGUACAUUGUAGGAGCAUCACAAGGUUGCCAGACAUGGGCUUUGCACCUUCGCUCAGUCACCUUGAGGUAGCCUAUUGCAGUGAGGAGCUAGGUAUGGAGUGCAGAAUUGCAGCAACUGAAAAAGCUAAGAGUCACAAUUGA
rnacentral:rRNA from 1 species